UGGGUUGUGCUCUGCAGAAGCAGCAUGAGGAAGGAAAGUGUGAUUGGUGAGAUGGGGCCACGGCUGCACUUUAAAAGCUCUGAUAGCAAUCACUGUGAGCAGAUGAGGAAGCAUUGCAGCAAGCUGUACACUGAGCUUGGACCAUGCAGCCUCUCCAGUGUGGCCACCUGCUCCUCCUGAUUGCCCUGCUUGCCCUCUGCUUGCCCUUAGGCCAGGCGGAGGACAACGGCACCAUGACAGAGGGGAUCGUAGCCCGGAGCCCGCCUUGCGGCAGCCCUGCUCUCCUGUCCCUGGCCCUGGGGCUGGCUGCGGCCUUCCUCCUGCGGCUCUGCUGAGCCGAAGGUCCCCGCAGUCCAGCGCUUCCCCGCUCCGCCGCCGGGCCCGGCCAGCUCCCGUCCCCGUGUCCCCACAGUGCUUCCCUAUGGCCGCAGCCUCCAGGAGGAUCAGCUCCAAGCACGGUCGUGCUGCGAAGCUCUGAGAAAUAAAGUACGGAGGCUCCGA